rnacentral:rRNA from 1 species
UACAGAGGGUGCAAGCGUUGUUCGGAAUUACUGGGCGUAAAGCGCGCGUAGGCGGACCUGCAAGUCGGGGGUGAAAGCCCGAGGCUCAACCUCGGAACUGCCUUCGAUACUGCGGGUCUCGAGUUCGGGAGAGGUGAGUGGAAUUCCUAGUGUAGAGGUGAAAUUCGUAGAUAUUAGGAAGAACACCAGUGGCGAAGGCGGCUCACUGGCCCGGUACUGACGCUGAGGCGCGAAAGCGUGGGGAGCAAACAGG